rnacentral:lncRNA from 1 species
GCACAAGGGCUCGCAAGCAUAUACCGUGCCAACGGACCUUUAUUACGGCACAGCUAUAGGAGACCGGGAACACACAACAGCCAGUCCACGGACUCACUGGUGGACGAGGCAGCCUUCAGCGACAGGCAUUGGGGAAACUGGGACAGGAGCAAAGGUGGUGGUGCCCUUGCCCUCACUGGCUUCCUCCUCUUCCUCGUCAGACAGAACCAGGCCAGCAGCGCUGAAGAUGUACGCCUUCACUUCCUCGAAGCGCU